rnacentral:rRNA from 1 species
AUGCACGCUGGCGGCGUGCCUAAUCCCUGCAAGUCGCGCGCACAGACGAGGAGCUUGCUCCUCUGACGUUAGCGGCGGACGGGUGGGUAACACGUGGAUAACCUACCUAUAAGACUGGGAUAACUUCGGGAAACCGGAGCUAAUACCGGAUAAUAUAUUGAACCGCAUGGUUCAAUAGUGAAAGACGGUUUUGCUGUCACUUAUAGAUGGAUCCGCGCCGCAUUAGCUAGUUGGUAAGGUAACGGCUUACCAAGGCGACGAUGCGUAGCCGACCUGAGAGGGUGAUCGGCCACACUGGAACUGAGACACGGUCCAGACUCCUACGGGAGGCAGCAGUAGGGAAUCUUCCGCAAUGGGCGAAAGCCUGACGGAGCAACGCCGCGUGAGUGAUGAAGGUCUUCGGAUCGUAAAACUCUGUUAUUAGGGAAGAACAAAUGUGUAAGUAACUAUGCACGUCUUGACGGUACCUAAUCAGAAAGCCACGGCUAACUACGUG